rnacentral:snoRNA from 1 species
ACCCCCUGGAUUUCUUACUUGUCAAACCCAAGCAUUGGUCUGAGUGGCUCUAAAAGGAGGGAAAGUAAAAGUGAAACUGACUCAGAUUCUUUAGCGAUACACAAGUCCGUUUCCAACAGAA